AUACUUACCUGGCAGGAGAUGCCAUGAUCAGCAGGUGGUUCCACCCAGGUGAGGCCCAACCAUUGCACUCCAUUUAGCUGACACCUGCGAAUUCCCCAAAUGUGGGAAUCUCGACUGCAUAGUUUCUGAUAGUGGGGGACUGCGUUCGCGCUCUCCCCUG
rnacentral:snRNA from 1 species